GAACGCGAAAUUUCCCUUCGGGGAGAAAGUAGAGUGGCGCACGGGUGAGUAACACGUAGGUAAUCUACCUUUGGAUGGGGAAUAACGCAGAGAAAUCUGCGCUAAUACCGCAUAAUGCAGCGGCACCUAAUGGUGACAGUUGUUAAAGCGGGGGAUCGUAAGACCUCGCGUCUAAAGAGGAGCCUGCGGCGGAUUAGCUAGUUGGUAAGGUAAUGGCUUACCAAGGCUACGAUCCGUAACCGGCCUGAGAGGGCGGUCGGUCACACUGACACUGACAUACGGGUCAGACUCCUACGGGAGGCAGCAGUCGGGAAUUUUGGGCAAUGGGCGAAAGCCUGACCCAGCAACGCCGCGUGAAGGAUGAAAUCCCUCGGGAUGUAAACUUCGCAAGAACGGGAAGAAUAAGUAGGGGACAAUACCCCCUAUGAUGACGGUACCGUUUGUAAGCUCCGGCUAACUCCGUGCCAGCAGCCGCGGUAAUACGGGGGGAGCAAGCGUUGUUCGGAUUUACUGGGCGUAAAGGGCGCGUAGGCGGUCAGCACAAGUCAGUUGUGAAAUCUCCGAGCUUAACUCGGAAAGGUCAACUGAUACUGUGCGACUAGAGUGCAGAAGGGGCAACUGGAAUUCUCGGUGUAGCGGUGAAAUGCGUAGAUAUCGAGAGGAACACCUGCGGCGAAGGCGGGUUGCUGGGCUGACACUGACGCUGAGGCGCGAAAGCUAGGGGAGCGAACGGGAUUAGAUACCCCGGUAGUCCUAGCCUUAAACGAUGAAUGCUUGGUGUCUGGGGUUAUAUAGUCCCCGGGGUGCCGUCGCUAACGCUUUAAGC
rnacentral:rRNA from 1 species